rnacentral:rRNA from 1 species
ACUCCUACGGGAGGCAGCAGUGGGGAAUAUUGCGCAAUGGGCGGAAGCCUGACGCAGCGACGCCGCGUGAGGGAUGACGGCCUUCGGGUUGUAAACCUCUUUCAGCUCCGACGAAUUUGACGGUAGGAGUAGAAGAAGCACCGGCCAACUACGKGSCAGCAGCCGCGGUAAUACGUAGGGUGCGAGCGUUGUCCGGAAUUAUUGGGCGUAAAGAGCUCGUAGGCGGUCUGUCGCGUCGAAUGUGAAAACCCGGGGCUCAACUCCGGGCUUGCAUUCGAUACGGGCAGGCUAGAGUUCGGUAGGGGAGUCUGGAAUUCCUGGUGUAGCGGUGAAAUGCGCAGAUAUCAGGAGGAACACCUGUGGCGAAGGCGGGACUCUGGGCCGAUACUGACGCUGAGGAGCGAAAGCGUGGGGAGCGAACAGGAUUAGAUACCCUGGUAGUCCACGCCGUAAACGUUGGGCGCUAGGUGUGGGGGUCCUUCCACGAUCUCCGUGCCGCAGCUAACGCAUUAAGCGCCCCGCCUGGGGAGUACGGCCGCAAGGCUAAAACUCAAAUGAAUUGACGG